AAAAAAAAAAAAAAAAAAACAGUUAACUUGUUAAAGAGAAAAAUUACCAAAGCUCGACAUAUGUUUAUUUUAUUUUUAAAAAUACUCAGGCAAAAACUGUUGUUAUCCUUCCAUUGUUAGUUCAUCAAAUGACUGGUGUCAUCAUUUUUUUAUUAGAAUAAUUUACUUUUUUACCCUGCCAUAAGCUAUUGGGUAUAGUAAACGCGUCAAUGGUCA